ACACGUGCAUAAGUGCACGUGCAAGGAAACAGACAUGCAAAGAUACCUACAUGGCACACAGAUUAUAGAAGUAAUCAGUUCAUGCCAAUCCCCCUGAUUCGAAUCUAUCCCCACAGAGUUGUCUCUUGCCUUCUCCAAUUACAUAGUUGUAUAUUCCUUUUUCCACCGUGAGAACCCUGGCUCCCAUCGACACCUGCACAUUUACACGUUUGCUCCAUCCUUUAAUUGUGAUCUAGAAUAGGUACGCAGUUGGAGAAUUCCACUGCAGGAAACCAACCUCCUAAAAAGUGGUCAGGAGUUGUUUGCUGUUCUGCUGGCAUCCACCGUAGCCAGAACGGAGGUUCUAUAAUCACAUGCUGCACUUACACAUUCCUUGGACUUCCUCCCGCCUCUCUCCUUUUUUUCAUUACCAAUUUCUCACUUUCUCCUGUCUCCCUUUUUGUCACGGCGUGGCAUUCAUUUAAAAUUACCUUCGUUUUUUUGUUUUCAGUUUGCUUUCGAUUUCAGCUUUUGUUCUCCUCUCCACUGGGACUGGUUCUAUUCUAUUUUAUUUUAUUUUUUGAGCAUUCAGACCCCUAACAGGUGUUCAAAAGUAAAAUAUACCAGGAGAUUUACUCAGAACAGAUCACGGCCUCUUGGACGCCUUCCUUUCUCUCACCUUCCUCCCCUUGCAGCAGACUGUGCUCCUUCGUGCUUUGUGGGAAUUCACGAGACUGCUAUUCUAGCCCGUGUUCCUUCCCGGAUGAGCUGUGGGCCCUCAAAUCUCAAUUUCUUCAUCUGCCGAAUGAAAGACUUCCAGAAGCCAUAUUUGGCAAGCUGGCCGCAGCGACCAUCUGAAUUUGUGCUCCGUGGAUAUGAGCGAGGACAACACGGCAUUUGGAGGCCUAAGAGCAUGAGUGCCAGCAGCCGAGGGGAACACGUGUGGCCAGAGUCCUAUAAGUUGAUCACCUUUUCAUAUUUUUGAUACUGGGGGAUGAGAGGAAGCUCAGUGAUGAGUGGGAAGUUCUCAAUCUUGUUCUUAUGGGUCCCUAGGCAAACCCUGUGUUUCACACUGACCACCUCUCACAUCCUACCACGAAAUACUUUAUGAGCGCUUUACCUCUGAACCGAACUCAGUG
rnacentral:lncRNA from 1 species